GAUUUCUGGCCUGAAACAUUUUGCCGGCCACGGUUUCGUGUGUCAGUGCUUGAUGUUCUGGCCAUCCUUCCAAUCGCUACUGAUCUUUCUUCAUUGAUUGGUCAGUGGUAUUGGAUCUUUUACCUUGAAAAAAUUAGAGUGUUUCAAGCAGGCUUUAUGCUAUGAAUACAUUAGCAUGGAAUAAUAAUUUAGGACUUCGGUUCUAUUUUGUUGGUUUCUAGGACUGAAGUAAUGAUUGAUAGGGAUAGUUUGGGGGUGCUAGUAUUCAGCGGCCAGAGGUGAAAUUCUUGGAUUCGCUGAAGACUAACUUAUGCGAAAGCAUU
rnacentral:rRNA from 1 species